GAUGAACGCUAGCUACAGGCUUAACACAUGCAAGUCGAGGGGAAACGAUAUUGGAAGCUUGCUUCCGAUAGGCGUCGACCGGCGCACGGGUGAGUAACGCGUAUCCAACCUGCCCAUCACUUGGGGAUAACCUUGCGAAAGUAAGACUAAUACCCAAUGACGUCUCUAGAAGACAUCUGAAAGAGAUUAAAGAUUUAUCGGUGUACGAUGGGGAUGCGUUCCAUUAGGUAGUAGGCGGGGUAACGGCCCACCUAGCCUACGAUGGAUAGGGGUUCUGAGAGGAAGGUCCCCCACAUUGGAACUGAGACACGGUCCAAACUCCUACGGGAGGCAGCAGUGAGGAAUAUUGGUCAAUGGACGAGAGUCUGAACCAGCCAAGUAGCGUGAAGGAUGAAGGUCCUACGGAUUGUAAACUUCUUUAUAAGGGAAUAAAACCUCCACGUGUGGGAGCUUGUAUGUACCUUAUGAAUAAGCAUCGGCUAACUCCGUG
rnacentral:rRNA from 1 species